AUACUGGCUUAGCAGUACGUAUUCUAAAAUUGGAAUGAUACAGAGAUCAGUGUGGCCCCUGUGUGAGGAUGACACACAAAUUUGUGAAGCGUUCCAUGAAAAA